rnacentral:sRNA from 1 species
AUAACAGGAGACUCACUAGAGAAGACUUAAAGAUCUUUGCUAAUCCACUAACUAGCCCGGGGAGGAGCAGUGCAAGCUUCACCACAUUGCCUUGCCAUGUGCCUCAUCCCUGAUCUGGAUGGUGACCUCUGGGAGUGAGGGGCUAUUCUCAGUCUCCUGGCCCAUUUAAAUCCUUUGCUUCU